rnacentral:lncRNA from 1 species
UCAUCAACUUGGUCCCCAUCUUUAUUCAAAUUUUCAUAUUAGAUCUCAAUAUUUUUAUUUUUACAAUAAAAUCCUUAAUCUUCGAGAUUAACUGCACCAUUAGUCCCUAACCUUUACAAAUAUAUUUUUUCUUUUUUACAUUGGCGCCACUUCUAGUGCAUGUGACCAACCAAACCUCACACAUGACGCUUAUUGCUUCUUUCAGAGCAUUCACGCAUUCGUGAUGUGGAAUCAGAUAUAUCACUAAAUUCUUUCAGAAAUUUAAAAGUGCAGGUGUUGGGUGUCGAGACAAACUGUGGGCUUCUGAAUCCUAACCUUUGUCUAUCUUAAUAGACGUAGUUUUAUUGGAACUGUUUUUGUUAAAGUUAGCAUAAAUUUAGAUAGUCGGGAUUUAAACGUGACAAAAUAUAAAGAUUCGGAAUCUAAUAGCGAAAAUAAAUGUUAGGAACUAAGGAGCAAUUUGGUUCGCCGAAAAAUUAUGAAAAAUAAAAGUUCGAGAAAAAAGUUUACCUCUUUUCCAAGUUUCCAUACAUUUAAAUUCCAAAAAAAUACCUUUUUUGAUAAACUUUUUUUAAAUUUCAUUUUUCGUUCAAAUAUAUAACACUAUUUUUUUUUAUUAAAUAUGAAGAAGUUUAAAAAUAUUUAUUUUUUUAAAAUUAAACAAGUAAAAAAUUGGAAAAAUAAAUUACCUUUAAAAACUUUUUUUCAAAAUUUUUUAUUUAUUACUU